rnacentral:rRNA from 1 species
ACCUACGGGGCGCAGCAGUGGGGGAUAUUGCCCAAUGGGGGGAACCCUGAUGCAGCGACGCCGCGUGGGUGAAGAAGCGCCUCGGCGCGUAAAGCCCUGUCAGCAGGGAAGAAAAUGACGGUACCUGAAGAAGAAGCCCCGGCUAACUACGUGCCAGCAGCCGCGGUAAUACGUAGGGGGCAAGCGUUAUCCGGAUUUACUGGGUGUAAAGGGGGCGCAGACGGCUGUGCAAGUCUGGAGUGAAAGGCGGGGGCCCAACCCCCGGCCUGCUCUGGAA